AACGAACGCUGGUGGUAUGCUUAACACAUGCAAGUCGAACGGGCAUAGCAAUAUGUCAGUGGCAAACGGGUGAGUAAUGUAUAGGAAUCUACCUAGCAGUAAGGAAUAACCCUGGGAAACCAGGGCUAAUGCCAUAUAUUACCGGUUAGCAAUAACCGGGAAAGAUUUAUCGCUGUUAGAUGAGCCUGUAUCAGAUUAGCUAGUUGGUGGGGUAAUAGCCUACCAAGGCAAUGAUCUGUAGCUGGUCUGAGAGGAUGAUCAGCCACACUGGAACUGCGACACGGUCCAGACUCCUACGGGAGGCAGCAGUGGGGAAUAUUGGACAAUGGGCGCAAGCCUGAUCCAGCAAUACCACGUGAGUGAUGAAGGCCUUCGGGUUGUAAAACUCUUUUAGUAGGGAAGAUAAUGACUGUACCUACAGAAAAAGCACCGGCUAACUUCGUGCCAGCCGCCGCCGUAA
rnacentral:rRNA from 1 species